rnacentral:rRNA from 1 species
AAGCUCGUAGUUGAAUUUCGGGAUUAGUACGUCGGUCGUGCCUUAGGUACGUACUGGUGUUACUGGUUCCUACCUUCUGACGAACCAUCAUGUCAUUAAUUUGGUGUGGUGGGGAAUCAGGACAGUUACUUUGAAAAAAUUAGAGUGUUUAAAGCAGGCUUGCGCUUGAAUACAUUAGCAUGGAAUAAUGAAAUAGGACGUUGAUCCUAUUUUGUUGGUUUCUAGGAUUGACGUAAUGAUUAAUAGGGAUAGUUGGG